rnacentral:rRNA from 1 species
UACGAAGGGGGCGAGCGUUGUUCGGAAUUACUGGGCGUAAAGGGCGCGCAGGCGGCCUUAGAAGUCAGAUGUGAAAGCCCCGGGCUCAACCUGGGAAUGGCAUUUGAUACUCUGAGGCUGGAGUACGGGAGAGGAGAGUGGAAUUCCCAGUGUAGAGGUGAAAUUCGUAGAUAUUGGGAAGAACACCGGUGGCGAAGGCGGGUCUCUGGGCCGUAACUGACGCUGAGGAGCGAAAGCGUGGGGAGCGAACAGG